rnacentral:lncRNA from 1 species
CUCCUGACCUCGUGAUCCGCCCGUUUCAGCCUCCCAAAGUGCUGGGAUUACAGGCGUGAGCCACUGUGCCCGGCCAACCAUAGAAUUUAUUACCACCUAAGAUGUUACAUAUUUUACUUUUUGGUUUGCCCUCUCCUUCUGUGAGAGUGUAAGCUCCAUUAGGGAAUGGAUUUUUAUCUUUUUAUUCCUGUUGUUAUUGUUCAUUUGCUGUGUCCCCAGGACCUAGAAUUGUGCAUGGUUCAUGAUAGGUACUCAAUAUUGUUGGGA